CAUUAGUUCAUCAAAUGCUGCGACUACUAUAACACGUGUUAUAUCAGAUCAAAUGGCACUUUGAAUAUAUGGCAGACAAAAACAGAGCCGACAAAACACGAACAGAACUUUGGAUAAACAAGGCAUGAAAAGAAAUUUAUACAGAGAGAGCUUGCUAGUACUGGCUGAUUUUAGCUUUUGAAGUUGUACAUAUUCAGAUUACCCCAUAUCACAUGAAACUUGCAGAACUUCCAGUGAAUAAACUUAUAGACAGACUAGUGGAGAUAUUGAAUCAGACUGUUCCAAGAUUGUACAUGAUGUAGUACCACAUCCAGGGUCCUCACAGUUUUGUGUAUACAGGACAAUUGUACCUCAUACAUGUAUGUUGAGAGAAGUUCAGAACAAGCUAUUAUGUUUGAAGAGGAGUUGUCAGCACGUCAUCAUUGAAUAAAGUCAGUUGUAUUAGAAGUGAAGCCUAAACAGAAAUGAGACAAUUAUCAAAUAAUUCAAAGACUACAUGGAUGUUAUCUGGAAUAACAUUUGUAUGACCCAAAUGUGGUAUUUUUCAUAUGAAGACUUACAAGGCAGGCUGUGGCAACAUGUGUAUGCAUUUAUCAUGUUUAAAGACUUGAAGAACUUGUACUGCCUUCUUCAGAUUUCAGUAGAAUUUGUUUAAGACAGUAAAUUCUGAGUAUGAAUUGAAGAAUUUUUGCUCAUUUAAAUGAAUUAUGAAAAUGUUUUGCAUCUUAAAUAUACAAAAACAACAUACCGGUAAAUUAUUUUUUCUUUCU